GGCAUGUUGCCAGAGUGGUUAAUGGGUGAGACUUGAAUUCAAUCUGAGUUAAGCCAUCUCAUGACUUCGGUCGCGUAGGUUCAAAUCCUGCACAUGUCG